GUAGAAUUAGUGUAGCUGGAGGUGCAUACCUGACUUCCAUUCAGAAGGCUUGCGUGGGUUCGAUUCCCACAUUCUACA
rnacentral:tRNA from 1 species